CCCGCCCGGAAGGGUGGAAGUGUCCGUCUGUCCACAGGGAAAGCGGUUUGUGAGCCAGGUCUUCUCCCCGAGGUGACCACCACUCAUGUGCUCUCUGGUCUCAUCUUAGAAUUCCUCUUGCAUCCUGGACUGAAAGCCCAGUGUUACAGGGAUGAGAGUUCUUAAAACUCUCCUGGUUCUGCCUCUUCCUUUUAUGCUUUGGAAGUCUGACGUGACUAUCUAAAUCCUUGAGUCAUCUCUAUCAGGGUGUGAGCCCACUUGGGGAAAUGGAGAGCGGCCGCUUGCACCAUCUUCGAUGGCGAAGCAAUCACUCUGUUUUCCUUCCGUGUUACUGCUGUGCCCUGGGUUAUCCAGAGCUGUGGCCCUGCCACUCACGUGCUAAUUCAUUCGCUCACUCAUUCGUUUGUUCAUUCAUCCAACAAACAGCCUGAGGGACAGCAGGGAGGAGGACUGGACACUGCUUGGCCCUGUGGACAUGCCACUUCCUGCAUGUGGAUGCAGGCCCUCUGCCUCCCCUGGCCGUGUGAAUAAGACCCUGCUCUGAUGCUGCUGGAAGUGGGCUAGAUUGAACUUCCCUGUUUUUCUUAAGUGGAAUUAACUUUUGUGGAGGUAAAAGCCAGAGAUUGAGGAAAGAAGAAAGAAGAAAAGGAGAAGGAGAAGGGGGAGAAGAAAAGGAAAAAUUCUUGGCAUAAAUUGCUCAUCGACAGGCGAUUUUCAUUAAAGCAGAGCUUGGAUCAACUCAGGAAAGCUUGAUAAAUCCCUGAUAAGGUGCCAGAUGUUCUAAUGAACUUUCUUGGGGGUUUUGCCAUUUCAAGUUGAUGUGUUUUGCCCAAGAGCCAAGGAUUGGGAUGGUCCCAGCAUCUGAUAUUGAUUCUUCAAAGAAGCCCCCUUCCCCCAGCCUCUGGACACAGAGUGCCCGCUGGAGAGGCUGUAAAUUGGAUCAGCCUGGUAGAAACUGUAGUCAAGCCUGGAAGCAAUAUUCCAGCUCACUUUUCCAGGAACAGUGUCCUGAGAAAGAAAGAAAGUCCUUGGGAUCCUUUCACCGCCUAGCCAUGGUGGGUAUGUGUUUUCGACAGAGGCAUGCUGUCUUCUAAAACCUCACACUUUUUCAAGGCUGCUUCUUGGAGCCUUGAGCAAUGAGAAGAGUCACUUAAAAAUCAUUUAUCAACAAUUUGGUGGUUGAUUCCCAGGCUCUUGGGAUUUAGAGAUGGACAGGCAGUGUCUCUUUCCUUGAGGAGCUUUUCGGCGUAUGGGGCAAGACUCAUGUAAACUGGUAAAAGCCACGAUGCGCCAGAGGUACAAGGAGCACGUUAUUGCCCCAGGGUUCUGAGCCUGAAACCCCUGCUGUUGGAUCUGAUGGCUUCCUACACCUAGGGUUCUUAUAUGUGCAGGGGGCCACUAGGUCCACUUAACUCAUUUCAAUGAAGAAAAUUUCCCCAUUGCUCUAAAUUUUAUAAAAUUGAUAAUAGAAGAAGAAAAAGGACCUAGGUAGCAUGACUACCAGCAAAAAAGUGACUGUUUAAGGGAGGGACUGGAAUGCAGACUUGAACUGCAGCUCCCACUGUGCCUGAUCUGACACAUCUCACCUGUGAACAGGCUCUAAGUAUACAAAAUGCUAUGGCCCUACCCAAACACUAUCCAGUUCUGUCACUAAACUUAGAGAUAUUUCACUUCAAAUCAAGUUAUAUAAUGGUUUAAAAAAAUUAGAUCAGCCUUCAUUUCAUCCCACCUACACAAAGGUGGAAGGACAUCACAUCCGUCAGUCUAUCCCACUGUUCUCAAUGCUACGUUGUAGCUGCAUUCUUUUAAUGCAGUAAUAGGCUGUGAGGUCUGGAAGAAGUUUAGUCCCUGGAUGGAAGAUCAUUUUUAUUUUAAAAGCCCAAAGCAAUUGGUUGGUAGGAGCCUGGAGCCCUGGGCUGAGAAGGAUUCUGGGUUCAUGUUGGGUCUCAGAUGCAUCCAGGAGGUCGACUGUGGACAUGGAGAUGUUCAGGGAUGGCAUCCCCCUGCUUACCAACUCCAUUUCUCAUGGAUAACGAAAUGGGCUGCCCAAUCCACUGACUUACAAAGAGUCCCUGGGUGAGUGAGGGGAUGGAACUGAGGACCUUUGCACUGAGCUACAUCCCUCAGCUGCAGAGGACCAGCUGCUGGAGAAGGCGAGGGGAGGCGUCCAGAGGAAGCAGCUGCUCGCUUGGGCACCCGCACGGCUCAGCCUCUGCUGUGGGAUGGCACGCUGGGGCCCUAAGAGGUGUCGGGGCACCGGCUGAGUGCGCUGCCCACUGGAGGCAUUUUCUUGGGGGGUGGAGCUGGGGGAGCAGGACGUGACCGAGAAGGACCGAGGGUGGGGAGAAGGGGCGCUCUGGCGCACGGGGGCGGAUUCCCUGCACGAGCGGCUGGCGAUUAGUCACACUUGGUUCCAGCCUCGGUUCCAAACCUGGCUUAUCUUUAACACCCAGUCUACUUCAAGACAAACAACAUAGAGAAGAGGAAAAACAUCGUGGGAUCAUUUGGAAAUACUUGCGUCACAGCUCAAACGACAGAGGUGGCCCUGGAGGGAGAGGAUGUAGGUGCCAGUCCUCCUUGUUCCAGGCCUCCAGCUCCCUCUUUCUUGAGUGAAAAGUACUUUUGGUAGAUAUUCCAUGCCGGGAUUUAGAAACUGAUAUUUUGUUCCAGGAGUUCUUUAUCCUGUGAUAUCUCCAAACCAGGUAGUCUAACCCCAAAUUUCAAGAAAUAGUGGGAAUUCCAACAUCUUAAUGGAGCUGAAAAGAACAGCAUAUUUGGGAAGAAAAAAAUGAUUUCAUUGUGAGGAUUUCUGCACUAACCACGCAGCAAAAUUUGAGGUCUAGAACAGUAAAAAAGCAAAAUUUUUUUGUUGUAUUCAAACAGAACAUAAGACCACACAGUGUGGGAACGGCAGUGAAGACACAAAGACACAUUCACUGACUGUAACUCAGCAGUCCUACCAUCUACCUGAUCAGAAGAUUUCUGAAUUCUACCCUGAAAUUUGUUUUCCCAUUACUGGGAUUGAAGUAAGGACCUUUGCACUGAGCUGCAUCCCUAGCUCAUUUUUAUCUCUCAUUUUGGUAUAGGUUCUCACUGAGUUAUUAAUUGUCCAGGCUGGGCUUGAAUUUGCAGUUCUCCUGCCUCAUCCUACCAGAGUGUUGGGAUCGUAGGUAUAUGCCACCACACUUAGCCUCUGCUGUGAAACUGUAAAAAGAAAUGAUACAAUGAGCAGACUGACUGAAAGUGCUCGCAGGCUGACUUUGUGCAGCCUAGUAGAUAACUCUUUGAAACUAAGAGUUUCCUGUUUUUCCAGGAGGACCUGCUCCAAACUUUUCUUCUCUUGGGACUGGGGAUUCCUUCUGCUUUCAGGGAGACUCCGGUUUUUCCCAGAUGCCUAGAUUCUGAUGGCUGAUGUGGGAGAAGAGUUUAAUCCUAUAAACAGUAACACUCUGCUAGGGUUUGAGCCGAGUGUCUCCCAAAAGCCCUGUGUUAGAGAGUUUGGUCCCAGCCCAUGGUGCUUUCAGAGGUGGGGCCUCAUGAGAGGAAGUGAGGUCACUGAGAGUUGCCUUUCCAGGGGAUAUUGGGACCUUGGACACUCCUUGUCUCUUUUUGCUUCCUGGAUGCCACGAGGUAAGCAACCUCCUCCACUGCACUCCUAGCAUGAGGCAUUGCCUUACCGCAGUCCCCAAAGCAAUGGACCAAAUGGCUAUGGACUGAACUCUCUGAAACCACGAGCCAAAUCAGUUAUCUCACGUGUUUUGUUAUAGUAAUGGAGAACUGACUAACACACACCCCAUCCCCAGAUUGAGUGACACAGCAGCCUGUCUAUUCACCAAGGACAGGACCACUUUGCCAUGAUGACUUUUUUAAUAGGGAGGCCCAAUCCCCCUGUCGGAUUUGGUGCUUCCUCUGGAACCUAGACCUCUACUGCAGGUCCCACAUACUUUGGUCUGGCUCCUAUCUCUGUGGGACGGCAGGAAGUCGAGGGGACCUGUGCCUUCUCUUCUCUUGCUGACCCUGGGACAAAUAAGGUUUUUUCUGAGAGAGCCUGUUUUUCAGCUUCUGGGGUGCAGCUCUGCAAUGGCGCCUUGCCCUAGCACAGGGCAAGUGGAGGCUCAGAGGGGACCAUGCUGAGCAGGAAGUCCCCACCCUGCAUGGCUCUGUCUUGCCUCCCUUAGUGGAAUUACACCAUUCAGGUGAGGGGACUAAACUGUCCAGCCUGCCACACCUCCUCCAUGUGAGGAAACUAAGGAAAGGACAUGUGAGGAGACUGGGAGAUCACAGAGCAGCUGUGACAGUUAACAGCUAUGAUGAAUGAAGGGUGAGAAGUGGGCAAAGGAACAUGUGGCCAGCAAAUGCACAAAAUGAGCCCUAGAAUCGGGUCCUCAUCCUGUCCCUGUGUUCACUUAAGAUACUCAGUCUCUAAGGCUCAUCAAUGUCAUGGAAACACAGUGUUUCCCCUGCUUAUGACUCAGGGUUCUCAGCUUGUCUUCUCUCUGCCAGUUGGCCUCCCCGCCCUCUUCCCUUUGGCUUCCAUAAAUGUGCUCUAGUUUCAUUUUGCUAACUAGUGGCAAUUUAAACCUCCCAAAAUGUGAGCUGAUUAUACCUGCUCAUCUCAGGCAUUUGUUACGGUAACAGAAAGCUGACUAGCAUCAGUCUUGCAUCUGAACUGGGAACACAUUCAUGGAAGAAGCCUUACCUACAAUCCCAAAUUUUGAAGUAGAACUUGAACUCUGACAAGUAACCAAAUAUCUAGUCACUCUCACUGCUGGGUGGUAACUAAAUAGAUGGCUAAUAGAGCUGCAAGAUGAAUGAGGUUUGUAGGACAAUUAGAAAUUCCUUAAAUGUGCAAAAGAAAAAUGGGAUAGAAAAUAUUAAGCAUGAUCUGAUAUUUGGGAGAAAAGGCUUGAUACAAACUUUACUUUUAUUUAAGUAUCUGGUUUUCUUUUAAAGCUGUGAAGACCCAUCUGAUCGGUUGGGAUCUAUGACAAUCACGUCACAAUAUUUUCUUUUAGCUCCUCAAGCAUUUUUAUUUUAUGAAAACUGUACAGGAGUAGUUGUUAGGAAACCCAAGGGGUCAAAUGAAGUUUCUCUGAGCUCUGCGCAGAUACCAAUGUUCAAUAGCCACUAGUUACUCUUGGAACAGUUGUUGGUUGAAAUAAUAAUUCUAAGUUAUACAAUGACAGUGCUAGGUCUGCUGGGGUUGGGGUUGGCUCCUCGGGGUAUGGGACAGCUCACAGAAAUGGGGAGAUGGGAACCGCUUUGGUUUAUAUCUAGAUGCCCCCCUACAGCCUCAUAUACUCAGAGGCAGGGCUUGUGCAAGGUGAUUGGGCUGCUACCUCUGGUGUUAGGGAGUGGGGUCCAGUGGAAGAGGUGGGUCACUGGGGAGUGACCUGGGAGGGUUUAUCUCCUUCCCUGGCUCCUCCCUUCACUCUCUGCUUUCCGACCUCCCUUAGGUGAGCAGCUUUCCUCUGCCCAGAACCUUGGACCAUGCCUCUGACCAUGUAAGAGCGGGAACUUCUAAAACAGCCAAGAUAAACCUCUCCUCCUUUAAAUUGUGGGUAUUGUCCCGGUGAAGAGGAAAGUGACAAAGACAGGCACCUCCCUAGCCACCUCACAACAUCUCUAGGAAGUAUUUGUCAUCGUUCUCAUUCUGUGGGUGUGGAAACUGAGGCUCGCUCGGGCUGCUCAACUUUCAUAAUGGUCAGCGGGUUUCGGCUGCACACUUGUUUUGUCCAUUCUUCCCUGCAUUCGUCCCUGAAAGGGCCUUUGCAGUCUCAGCUCACUAAGUGAGAACAGGCUCAGUCAGUCGUCCUGACUGAGCAGCUGGGGUCUGUGUCCCAUUCAUGUCUCUCUUCACACCCAGGCUCUGGCCCAGAUGACGUCUUCUGUAAUGUCAAGGUGUUGAAGAGACUUGAGUGGCAAUUUCAGUGCUUAGCAACCGUGUUUGUUUUUGUUUCAGCUUGGUUUUCCUUCAGCAUCCAGCUGUGGAUCUCUUCUUCUGUUGAAGGUGAGAUCAGUUCAGCAUCUGCAGAGUGGCUCUGCACCGGGUGGUCUUACUUCCAAAGAGCAGGCCCAAGAUGGAAAAUGAACGCUAACUUGUAGGGAUCCCCUUGGAGCCCUGCACACUCGGGGGGCCCAAGGACACGCCCCGCCUCCCACCCAGCAUGGAUGAGAGACAGCAAGGCAGGGCUCAGAAUGCAUCACAAAAUCAAUCCUGGGCGAUGUUAUCAGGCCGCUAACUGCCGCUCGCCACAGAAGUGCUCCUGAGAAGCGAGGGUGAAGUCUUGCUACUUAGAGCUCACUUUUUCCUCAGUGCAUACCCUAUUUGGGGGCCUUUCUUAUACAUUGCAUUCCACCACGGCUCUUUGCCAAGCAGUUUCCGUUCAUGCCUCUGCCUCUGAGGCCAAGCUCCCGGGGGCUUGGUUUCAGCUGUGCCUCCCUCGGUCUUCGCCGGCUCCCUGUGAAAUACAGCUAACGGAUGGUGAAUUUGGCCACAGAAGCCUAUUAUUGGAAGUGAUGGAAUACAGGAGGAUUUAUGGACUAGAUUCUUUUCUGCUCCUUCAAGAAUUACAAGCUAACCCCAAAUUACAGCAAGAAUUCCUACGGGUCAAUAAUUAAAAGCAAAAGGCAGCCUCUAUGGGGGGAAACAGUGUGGUCUGGAAGCUAUCUUUCAAAUUGAAGCGGACUGUGUAACUCCCAAAUAUUAUGGAUACAAAUUAGCUAUGUUUGAUCACUGGAUCUUAUUUACCCUAAUUGUCUUCAUUGCUGUGGUUUCCCCGUGCGUUUCGUUUAGAGAGCACUUGGUUUAGCUGCUCAGUGCUGAGCUCUGUGCUAUAGUAGUGGGAGAGAUGGGGCAGGAGAGAGAAAUCUAGAAAGACAGAGAGGUAGACAUGUUGGAAGAGAAGAAAGGAGGGAGAAGGAGAAAAGAGAGAGACAGGAGAAAAACAGGAGAGGGAACAGGGAUCUAGGAGGGGAGGGGAUAGGAGAGAAGAAAAGAGGAGAGACAAAGACAGGAUUAGGGACAGAAAGGGGGAAAAGGAGACAAAGAGCAGGGAAGGCAGAGAAACAGACUGAGAGGGAAGUGAGAGGAACAGGGAAGGAAGAGGAGGAGAAAGAGAACGAGCAAGAGCGUUUACUUGAGAUGUGUUUUCCCUCAAAGCCAUACAAGUCUCUCCAUUCAGUCCAAAGAGACAUUAAAAACUGGCCCAUUUUGUUAGAUGAAGUGUUUUGCUUGUCUCUGGGAAUGAUUGAUUCGAACUUGAGAAGAAUUUGAAACUUGAGCAGCUAGGCAAGCAGGAAUUAUGGCCUUAUCUAGAAUUCCGGCAAAGCUGCAGACCGAGGCUGUUAGGACAUCGGGCCAGAGAUCUCUGAGAAGUAGCUUUCCCACAAGACUGCCAACACUUCAGAGCUAUGAACGGCUGAGAAAUAUGGCAAGAAUGUACCACUGCUUCAGUAUCUUUUGUCCCUUUCUCUUGUUUGGGGUAAAAGUAAGAAACCAACGGAUGCAAAUCAAAGAAUAAGCAAGGGUCCUCUGGGAGCCCUGGAGUCUGGGGACCUCACUUGCCUGGGUUUCUAGAAUGUUGAGGCAGGCCCUCUUUCCGGGCUUCCUUCUACCUUCCCAGAACCAGGCCUGCAGUAGACAUGGCACUUAUUACAGAGGAUGUGGAUGGCUUGGCACACCGCCCCCUCUAGAGACCUGAACUCAAAUCCUGGCUUGAUUUGGAAGAGAAAACAAGACUCAUGGUCUUGGCCCAGUUUUCACAGGCACGUAUCCCAUAACCCUUGCACACACAAGCACACACACAUGCGUGGAUACAAACACACACACACACACUUUGUGCACAUCCUAGGAAAGGCCCCGGGGAAAGAUGGAAGAAGUACGGUCAGUGGGAUUGUGGCAGCCGCCUCACCUCCCUCUGGGUUGCCUGUGGCUGGAAGUCAGUCCCCUGCCUUUGACAAGUACCUUGCUCCAGCUUCCCCCUCACCGUGCCUACCACGGUGUUCCCUCAUACUAGUGCCUCUCAGCAAUAAACACUGGAACUGGGGAGCUGUGUGUACAGUGCCACCCUUGUUCUCAGGGGGAAGCAUGCUGGGACUGUGUGUGUGUGUGUGCGCGUGCAUGCACACACACAAGCACAGAGAUUAUGGUGAUGCUAGGGACCGAGUCCAGGAUGAGGCAUGAAUAGCUGGCUGCAUCUCUGAUAAGCUAAGAAUCCUUGCAGCCGUCUAUUCCUAUGGCACAGUGGAUUUUCUCUCAAAUGCCCUAGUCCUAGGGAAACACUUUGUCUUUUU